rnacentral:precursor_RNA from 1 species
GAGUUAACCAUACACUAGUGAGUUCGAUAGUAAUAAUAUUAUAGCAAUCACUUAUUAUUAUUAUCAUUACUAUGAGACUUGAUAUCUUAACAAAUAACACCAUUCAUGCAAAUAUUUCAACAAAACUAGAUCAUUGUAUAUGCACGUGUAAAGGGCGAUGGUGCAACUGAGGCUCACUUAACCGAAGCACAGUAAGCAUUAGCCUGAUCAGCUAUACAUUAAACAGGCAAAUAGAAAGCUUAAUCCAAGGGCUAAUUCAGAUCCUUUACAAUACGUGCAAUAUACUUUUCUUUUUCAUUGUGCAUUUUAGAUGAACGGUUUAGAUCGUGCUAACAAUACAAAAAAAUAAAAAUAAAAAAGAAGAUAAAGUGAGUUUGGAAUAAUUUUGUGUGGUUGCUGAACCACUCAUAUCCCAAACGGCCAAAGGAAUGGUUCAGCAAGUCUAGACUGACCGUUUAUGGGUGGUUCAGCUAUUUCUUAGAAUAAGGUUGUAGUUUGGCCACCUCUGAAUUACUCUUUUUGGAGUGGCUAAAGCACCAUUUUUAGCUAAAAGAUGCUUCAACCACUCUAAAUCGGCCGUUUGACGGUAGCUGUACCACCCCAUAGUACGUAUACACUCAAAAUUUUUUUUUUUUGUUUCCAUUAAUAAUAGUAGUAGUAUUGCACCCACAUUCAAUAAAAGAGAGUACUACUGCGCGCGCGCGCGCACACACGCAUAUAUAUAUCGAAGUUGUUAGGACAUCGUUUGUCCACUCUCCCCAAAGGCCUCAAGCAUGCAUGCCGUGUUUGGCAAUGCUAGAAGCCCUUGAGGGAGAGCGAGCAACGAAAAUGCCUCGAUCGGUUUCAUAAACUUGACCACUCGCAAACAAGGCACAACCUCUUCAGUCCCCCUCUCAGGCUUCUAGCCUUCAACCUAAUUGCCUUUAAAGUAAAAAAAAACUUUAGCUGCAGGUGAGAAGCCCUUGAGGGAGAGUGAUCAGCAACGAAAAUGCCUUGGUAAUUAAUUUCAUACACUUCUCUAGCUCGCAAGAUUAGCAAGGCACAGCCUUUUCGUCCCCCUCGCAGGCUCCUCGCCUUAAGUCCUUAACCCCAUGCAGUUGCUGCAGGCUCAGGUGAGAAGCC